rnacentral:rRNA from 1 species
AGUGAACGCUGGCGGUAGGCCUAACACAUGCAAGUCGAACGGCAGCACAGUAAGAGCUUGCUCUUACGGGUGGCGAGUGGCGGACGGGUGAGGAAUACAUCGGAAUCUACUUUUUCGUGGGGGAUAACGUAGGGAAACUUACGCUAAUACCGCAUACGACCUACGUGUGAAAGCAGGGGAUCUUCGGACCUUGCGCGAUUGUAUGAGCCGAGGUCGGAUUAGCUAGUUGGCGGGGUAAAGGCCCACCAAGGCAACGCUCCGUAGCUGGUCUGAGAGGAUGAUCGGCCACACUGUAACUGAGAGACGGUCCAGACUCCUACGGGAGGCAGCAGUGGGGAAUAUUGGACAAAGGGCGCAAGCCUGAUCCAGCCAUACCGCGUGGGUGAAGAAGGCCUUCGGGUUGUAAAGCCCUUUUGUUGGGAAAGAAAAGCAGCAGGUUAAUACCCCGCUGUUCUGACGGUACCCAAAGAAUAAGCACCGGCUAACUUCGUG